rnacentral:lncRNA from 12 species
CUUCUCUCAGAACCCUGCGUUCACUCUACCUGCACCCAAGCUUCUUUUGGUUUUCUUUUUUUAUCUCAGACUGUUGUGCCCAAGAUUGUGAAUCUGUGAAUCUGAGAAAUCACAAAUCACCGAGAAGCCAACACCAAUGCAAACACAUGAAGGUUUAUUUACAAGCUCGAGCUUGUGUCCAAGUAUACCCAACACAGUGGAGCGGGGACUUGGACCCCGAGGUGGGUUUUAGCUUAUUUUUAAGAGUUGGUCUCGGGGAACUCCUGAAGGGUGGAGUAAUUCCUCAAGUUUACAUUUUGAUAUGGGGCCUUCAAGGGCAUUGAGAUCUGUUCUAAUAGGGGCUUCCUGCCCUUGGACUGGGCUCAGUUUUUAUUCUAUUGUGGGGCUUGCUGUGUCCUGACAGUGAGCAUUCAGGAAGGAAAUGAUGGAUGUGACUCCCUUCUCAGGUGCAUCACAGAGAAUAAAUAAGGAGACUGAACAAAAAGAGCACAAGACAUUGGGGGCUUCGUCCAUAUCAGAAGGGACUCCUCAGAACCACAGGAUGUGGGCCCGCAUCCACCCUGACAGGAACACCUGGGCUGCUUCAGGACCUGCAGGGAGGCUUCAGGAAGCUGUGGUGCUGCGUCCACUCUGGCAGGAGCUCCCGGGCCACUCAGGACAUAAUUUGAGUCUUCUGGAAGGUGGGGGCUGCAUCCAUGGUGUCAGGAGCCCUGGCCUCCUCAGAAUCCACAGUGAGGCUAUGGGAGGACUGGGGGCCAGGCCCAAACAACAGGACGCUGACGUCCUCAGGACCCCCGGUGUAGACUUCGGGAAAUAUGGGGAUGCUUCCAUGCAGACAGAAGACCCCAGCCUUGUCAGGGCCUGUGGUGAGGCGUAAGAAAAAUGUGGGUGCCGAAUCCAAACUGACAGGAGUCUCCAGCCUCUUUAGGAUCAGCACUUUGGCUUCAGGACAUAUGGGGCUGCGUCUAUGCUGACAGGAGCCCACAGCUUCAUCAGGACCCGCAGUGAGUUUUCUGGGGGCCAUGGGGCCAUGUCCAGGCUGACAGGAGCCCUCGGCCUCCUGAGGACCUGCUGUGAGGCUUCCAGAGGAUGUGAGGCAUAGUCCACAGUGACAGGAGACCCGUGUCCUCAGGACCCGCUGACUAUGACCCAAGAACACGUGAGGCCACGUCCACACUCACAGGAUCCUGGCUUCCUCAGGACCCCCUGGAGGACUCUGGAGGUGCCGUUGGGGGCCACGUCCACAUCAGAAGGGACUCCUCAGAACCACAGGGUAAGUGAAUGGGUAGAAUGAAUGGUAGGGUCAGGGGAGGGGAGGCAGUUGGUGGUUAGGUUAGAUGUUAGGGUUUAG